rnacentral:misc_RNA from 1 species
AAAGUAUUGGUGGCUUCACUCUUUUAGUUUAACACGAUGUCAGAUCAAGGUGAAAACGUUAAGAAAGAAGAUGUCGAAGUUGUAGGAAGUUUUACAUAUCCUGAUGGAAUGGAAUAUGUUGGCCAAUGGGACGAGAAAGGUCAGAAACAGGGAAUGGGACAUUUAAAAUUUCCAGGUGGAACAGUUUACGUGGGAAGAUUUGAGAACGGCAUGCCAUCUGGACUAGGCGUUCUUUCGUUUCCUGACCAUGCAAAAUAUGAAGGAGAGUUCAUGCAAGGUUGGUUCCAUGGACAUGGAACGUUCUGGAGAAAUGACGGAAUGAGAUUCGAAGGCGAGUUUCGUGGAGGUCGAAUAUGGGGGUAUGGUUUGGUGACGUUUGCAGAUGGAUCGAAUGGUUUUCCUAGAUGUGAAGGAUUGUUCAAAGAUUGUAGACUUGUCAAAAGAUGUCGCUGUAUAGAUAUUGUUCUUCAAGCGCAGAAGGUUGCCAUGGCAGCCAGAGCUCAGUGUCAACAAGAGCCAAUAAUGGAUAACUAAACUGAGUAAAAUGUAUUUUAACAACUUUUGAUCUGGAUAGUGAAAAUCAACAUUUUUAAAAAGGUCAGUUGUAAUCACAUUUCUUUUAGUGAAAAAAUCACAUUUUAAAGAGAAAUAGUCAACAUUAAUCACUAAUUUUCCUAGAAUUUUAAAUCAAUAAUCUUUUUCUUUUCGAAAGGUAUUUGAUUAACAAUAAUGCCGGUGUAUUAUUUUGUAUGUGUAAACUGAGCUUGAAUACUUAAACAAGUCACUGCUGUGAUAGGUGUUGAAAAACAAUUUAAAAGUUAUUCCUGAUUUUUGAUAGUGUUACGUUUUUGAUUGCACAAUUUAUAUUAAUUAGGAUGUUUACUUUUACCCUCUGAAUUAUGCUGCAUAAUUACUAACUGCUUCAUUUUAAAAACAUAUUUUGAUACAGUGUGAACAAUUUAUUUUUUCCCGAUAGAAAUUAUGCAUGAAUCGAUACUCCAACAUUUCAGAAAACUUAACCAAGGGGUAAAGCUGUUGACUUAAGGGUCUAUGAGGACAUAGAAGACCUGAUAUGAGGGAAAGGCUUAAUUGUCGAAGGCACUGAAUCUGUUUCUAGUUUUCCCUGACAGCUGGAGCUCGAAUCCUACUUUUGGUACACUAUUAUUUAAAAUUAGCUAUUAAAAUAAUAUACCAUAGUCAAAUGUAUUACAUGUUAUAGAUUAGGAUAUACAAGUGUUCAACGAUGAGUAAAAGUAUUGCUUUUUUAUCGUUUGUCUUCUAGAUCUUUUCUAGUAUCAAAGUUAGGUUGUAAUAAAGAUUGAAAUGUAGCUCAUUUAUUUAGAAAUUAGCUUUAGUAAACAAACAACAUAGUUAUUUAAAAAAUUGUCCAUUUAUAUGAAAAGCAUUUAAUAAUUUUAAACAUAGAAACAAAAUAUUGCAAUUUGUCCAAUAGGAUUCGUAAGUUAAAAAGAUCUAGAUAUAUCAAAUACUAUUUCGUGAAGUAAAAACUUUUAAUUUCCCUAACAUCUGUAAUAGAAAUGAGUGAUCAAAACAUUUUCAUGUACAAAAACAGCCAGGUUGUAUGUAUGUAAAACCCUUUAUAGAUGUAAUGUAAAAGUGGGUAAGUUCAAUAAUAAAAACUGGGGAAUUCUUCAUGCCCUUUUUUUAUAACAACUGAACAACUAGUAACACGAACAGCAAAAUGGAGCAAAGUUUUCCUUUUUUUCCUGUUUUAUAUCUUUAAAAGGUUUGCCCUUUUAUAUAACUUAGCUGUUUUUGUGCAUGUAAAGUGUUUUGAUUUUAUUACGGACCUUUUAUUUCAGUGUUUGAUUAUCUCAGUUUAUAUGAUGAAUAUUGUAUGAACAAGAAAAUAAAAUAUUGAAGGAAAGGUGCGAGUAUA